GUCACAAAAGACUUCCUAGUCACCUCCCCUCUUUUUAUAUUACUCCCUCCCAUGUUUUUCUUUAGAUUUUAAAACUAGAUAAAAUCAGGCCUUCCGUUAGAUUACCUGAAUUCUUUCAGGUGACGAGAAUCUCUGAGGCUUAAUUCAUUUAAAUAAACUUCAUUUUCCUACUGCCUUUGGCCAGGUGCCUUCGGAGGCCUGUUUGACAGAAUAGUUUCCGCUCCUGGGGGAGAGUGACCUGUUGUCAUCAAAGUGACCUACCACGAGAUAGAAGAAAUGUCUGAGAGGCUAGUUCUGCCUUUGGACACUUGGUGGCGCUCUAGCUUUAUGAAUGGCUCAAGCCGCUUCUGUUUGCUCCUGGGAAGUCUCCUUCCCUUUCCGCAGCUCGGUGGUGUGGUUUCAGAAUCAGAGGCAUUGUGUUCUGCGGAAGGUCAUAUGGAAAGUUCGAUGGCUGAUUGGAUUAGAAUAUGUACAAUAAUCCAUGAUGAUCAGGAAGCCUGUGAAAAGUCCUAUUCCUGUUUAUCAUGAUGUGAAGGCUCAUCAAGAUGAAAGAAAAAGAAUAUGGAAGAAAGACUUCAAAAGUCACAGUGAAGAAAAUUUGUUUUUACAAAGAUGUCAACAUACAACUUCCUCAUUAUCUGCUUCUCAAGACUGAAAGACCUACUCCUCUACCAGCCAGAGUUGUCUUCUCCUCAAGAUUCCAAUCUCCUGGGGCCCAUUCCUCUGUCGAAGUGAUCAGUUUCACACACUCUUCAGCCCAGCACUUUUUCUUUAGUGCCAGCUUCUGUCACACAGGAUAA
rnacentral:lncRNA from 1 species